CAGCCGCCACGGUAAUACAGAGGGUGCGAGCGUUAAUCGGAUUUACUGGGCGUAAAGCGUGCGUAGGCGGCUAAUUGAGUCGGAUGUGAAAUCCCCGAGCUUAACUUGGGAAUUGCAUUCGAUACUGGUUAGCUAGAGUGUGGGAGAGGAUGGUAGAAUUCCAGGUGUAGCGGUGAAAUGCGUAGAGAUCUGGAGGAAUACCGAUGGCGAAGGCAGCCAUCUGGCCUAACACUGACGCUGAGGUACGAAAGCAUGGGGAGCAAACAGGAUUAGAUACCCCGGUAGUCCCUGUCUCUUAUAA
rnacentral:rRNA from 1 species